UAUUGUGAUGAUCAUUUUCUAUGCUUCGGCAUAGCUGGAAAUUACCGGCUGAGACUUAGUCUUUGACGAAAAAAAACUGGCUGAUAUCUGAUG
rnacentral:snoRNA from 1 species